GCGCUCACUUCGGCAGCACACAUACUAAAAUUGGAACAAUACGUAGAUUAGCGUGGCUCCGGCACAAGGAUGACACAGAAAUUCUUGAAGCCUUGCAUAUUUUU
ensembl:snRNA U6 U6 spliceosomal RNA